UCUGAGUGCACAGUGGCGCGUGUGAUUCCGCAGUCUUGGGCUGUUCGGCCAAGUGCCCACCAGACGUGGGGCACUGGAGGGUCAGCAGCGUGGAGUCUGGCUUUCAGCGUCCACGGCUGGGAAAUCGGCCAUCGCCACGGCGGGAACUAGGACUGGCUGCGUCCCGGCCCUUCCCCAUCCGUCCACCGGACUCGUGGGCGCCCGCACUGGCGCUGAUGUAGUUUCCUGACCUCUGACCCGUAUUGUCUCAAGAUUAAAGAGUCUCACUCUGUCUCCCAGGCUGGAGUUCUGUGGCACCGUGUUGGCUCACUGCAGUCUCCGUCUCCUGGGUUCAAGCAAUUCUCUUGCCUCAGCCUCCAGAGUAGCUGGGAUUACAGGUGCCCACCACCACGCCUGGCUAAUUUUUUAAUAUUUUUAGUGGAGACGGGGUUUCAUCGUGUUGGCCAGGCUGGUCUCGAACUCCUGACCUCAGGUGAUCCCCCGCCGUCCAGAUUUUGAACAAAUCUCUCUAGGGAUUGAACAGAGCUGCGCCUGGAUCCUGCCACAGUGAGGAGACCUGAAGACCAGAGGAAGCACAGCAAGAGUCUCGCUUUGUUGCCCAGGCUGGAGUGUAGUGUGGCGAUCUCUGCUCACUGCAAGAAUCUGCCUCCCGGGUUCACACCAUUCUCCCACCUCAGCCCCCAGAGUAGUUGGGACUACAGGCUCAUGCUACCACACCCGGUUAAUUUUGUUUUUGUGUUUUUAGUAGAAACGGGGUUUCACCAUGUUAGCCAGGAUGGUCUCGAUCUCCUGACCUCGUGAUCCGCCCACCUCAGCUUCUCAAAGUGCUGGGAUUACAGGCAUGAGCCACUGUGCCCAGCUGUUUUUUCAUUUCUAUUAUGAUUUGUUCUGUGGACUGUCAGUGACUUAGCGGUAUGUUUUUCACAUGUUUAUCAAGCUGAAUAGUUCUGUAUGUCAGCUCAGCACCCCUAGUGUCAGCCAUGCUAGUCUCCUGCUGUGCAUAGAUGGGGGCCCGUCCACACCCGAAUCUCCUGGAUUCCCGCUGUCAGCACCUGAAGGUACCCACCCGAUGCAUCUAUCGCUUCCCUCCAUCCACCUCUCUUGUGGUUCUCAUGUUUCUGCCUCCCUAGAGACCAUUUCUCUCUAGAGCAGUAGUUUGCAAUACAAAUAAAAUGCCAGACACAUACGUCAUUUUAGAUUUUCUAGCAGUCACUUUAGAAAAGUUAAAAAGAAACAGGUGAAAUUAGUUUUAUUUCACCUAAAAUGUUAGCAUUAUCCAAAAUA
rnacentral:lncRNA from 1 species